rnacentral:rRNA from 1 species
UACGUAGGCAGCGAGCGUUGUUCGGAGUUACUGGGCGUAAAGGGUGUGUAGGCGGUUGUUUAAGUUUGGUGUGAAAUCUCCCGGCUCAACUGGGAGGGUGCGCCGAAUACUGAAUGACUUCGAGUGCGGGAGAGGAGAGUGGAAUUCCUGGUGUAGCGGUGAAAUGCGUAGAUAUCAGGAAGAACACCCGUAGCGAAGGCGGCCGACUGGACCACACCUGACGCUGAGGCGCGAAGGCCAGGGGAGCGAACGGG